rnacentral:rRNA from 1 species
AUUGAACGCUGGCGGCAUGCCUUACACAUGCAAGUCGAACGGCAGCACGGGAGCAAUCCUGGUGGCGAGUGGCGAACGGGUGAGUAAUGUAUCGGAACGUGCCCAGUCGUGGGGGAUAACGUAGCGAAAGCUACGCUAAUACCGCAUACGAUCUAUGGAUGAAAGCGGGGGAUCGCAAGACCUCGCGCGACUGGAGUGGCCGAUAUCAGAUUAGGUAGUUGGUGGGGUAAAGGCUCACCAAGCCGACGAUCUGUAGCUGGUCUGAGAGGACGACCAGCCACACUGGGACUGAGACACGGCCCAGACUCCUACGGGAGGCAGCAGUGGGGAAUUUUGGACAAUGGGCGCAAGCCUGAUCCAGCAAUGCCGCGUGCAGGAUGAAGGCCAUCGGGUUGUAAACUGCUUUUGUACGGAACGAAACGGCGAGCUCUAAUACAGUUUGCUAAUGACGGUACCGUAAGAAUAAGCACCGGCUAACUACGUGCCAGCCGCCGCAGUAA